rnacentral:lncRNA from 1 species
AAGAGUACAUCCAAAAGUAAUAAGAUCCUCACAGGAUAAAUUUCACUCAACUCUCAAGUGUUUAGGUUAACUGUUUACACUCAAAGCACAACAUGGAAGUUAGUACUACCAUAAGCUUAAAAAUACUAUAACAUCCACAAUUGAAAUACAUGCACACAAAGAUCAAAAGGACUUUUAUUUGGUUGUAACGUGAUCAAGGUAAGGGUGAGAU